rnacentral:rRNA from 1 species
GACGAACGCUGGCGGCGUGCUUAACACAUGCAAGUCGAGCGGAGCGGCGAACGGGUAAGUAACGCGUGAGUAACUGCCCCCCUCUCUGGGAUAACAGGUGGAAACGGCUGCUAAUACCGGAUAGUGGGGGAUGACUCGCGUCCUAUCAGCUUGUGGGUGGGGUAGUGGCGUACCAAGGCGACGACGGGUAGCAGGCCGGAGAGGGAGACCGGCCACAGUGGGCUGAGCUACGGCCCAAACCCCUACGGGCGGCAGUAGUGGGGAAUAUGGCACAAUGGGGGAAACCCUGAUGCAGCAACGCCGCGGUCGGGAUGACGGCCUUCGGGUUGUAAACCGCUGUCAGCCAUGACGCGGUAGUGGCAGAAGAAGCACCGGCUAACUACGUGCCAGCAGCCGCGGUAAUUC